rnacentral:rRNA from 1 species
AUACAGCAGGCGGGCGCACGGCGCACGGGUGCGUAACACGUGGGUAACCUGCCCUGCAAUGGGGGAUAACCCGCCGAAAGGCGGGCUAAUACCGCAUGAUAUUCCGGUGGCUUCGGACGCCGGAAUCAAAGCCCGCAAGGGCGUUGGAGGAGGGGCCCGCGGCCGAUUAGCUAGUUGGUGAGGUAACGGCUCACCAAGGCUGUGAUCGGUAGCCGGUCUGAGAGGAUGGCCGGCCACACUGGAACUGAGACACGGUCCAGACUCCUACGGGAGGCAGCAGUGGGGAAUCUUGCGCAAUGGGCGAAAGCCUGACGCAGCGACGCCGCGUGGGGGAUGAAGCUUUUCGGAGUGUAAACCCCUUUCGACCCGGACGAAACGCCCGCAAGGGCUUGACGGUACGGGUAUAAGAAGCCCCGGCUAACUACGUGC